GCAAGUCGAACGGUAACAGGAAAGAGCUUGCUUUUUUGCUGACGAGUGGCGCACGGGUGCGUAACGCGUAUACAAUCUACCUUUUACAGGGGGAUAGCCUUUAGAAAUGAAGAAUAAUACCCCAUAGUAAGUCAUUAUGGCAUCAUAGUGAUUUUAAAGUUUCGGCGGUAAAAGAUGAGUAUGCGUUCUAUUAGCUAGAUGGUGUGGUAACGGCACACCAUGGCUACGAUAGAUAGGGGCCCUGAGAGGAUAGUC
rnacentral:rRNA from 1 species